rnacentral:misc_RNA from 1 species
GAUGAAGAACGUAGCGAAAUGCGAUACGUAAUGUGAAUUGCAGAAUUCAGUGAAUCAUCGAGUCUUUGAACGCACAUUGCGCCCCCUGGUAUUCCGGGGGGCAUGCCUGUCCGAGCGUCAUUGCUGCCCUCAAGCACGGCUUGUGUGUUGGGCCUCCGUCCUCCUCCCGGGGGACGGGCCCGAAAGGCAGCGGCGGCACCGCGUCCGGUCCUCGAGCGUAUGGGGCUUCGUCACCCGCUCUUGUAGGCCCGGCCGGCGCUUGCCGACACACCAAUCUUUUUUCCAGGUUGACCUCGGAUCAGGUAGGGAUACCCGCUGAACUUAAGCAUAUCAAUAAGCGGAGUA